ACAGCCCCAUCAACACCCGCAGAUCGGUCCUGGUGAGACCCCGGCCCCAGCAACACCCCCAGACCGGUCCCAGUGAGACCCGGGUCCCAGCAACACCCCCAGACCGGUCCCAGCCCCAGCAACAUCCUCAGACUGGUCCCAGCGUGACCCUGGUCCCACAACACCCCCAGACCAGUCCAGGUGGGACCCCGGCCCCAGCGACACCCUCAGACUGGUCCCAGUGUGACCCCGGUCCCAGCAACACCCCCAGAUUGGUACCGGUCUCAGCAACAUCCCCAGACCUCUCCCGGUGAGACCCCGGACCAGGUCCCAGCAACAUCUCUAGUCCGGUCCCAGCGAGACCCUGGUCCCAGCAACACCCUCAGACUGAUCCCGGCCCCAGCAACAUCCCCAGACUGGUCCCAGUGUGACCUUGGUCCCAGCCACACCCCCAGACCGGUCCCAGCGAGACCCCGGUCCCAGCAACACCCCCAGACCAACCCCAGUCCUAGCAACACCCCCAGACUGGUCCCAGUGAGACCCCAGACUGGUCCCCGCAACACCCCCAGACUGGUCCCGGCGAGACCCUGCUCCCAACAACACCCCUAGGCCGGUCCCAGUGAGACCCCGGCCCCAGCAACAUCCCCAGGCCGGUCCCAGCCCCUGCAACACCUCCAGGCUUGUCCCAGUGAAACCCCGGUCCCAGCAACACCCCUAGACCGGUCCCAGUGAGACUCUGAUCCCAGCAACACCCCCAGACCG